AGAACGAACGCUGGCGGCAGGCUUAACACAUGCAAGUCGAACGCCCCGCAAGGGGAGUGGCAGACGGGUGAGUAACGCGUGGGAAUCUACCUAGUUCUACGGAACAACAGUUGGAAACGACUGCUAAUACCGUAUACGCCCUACGGGGGAAAGAUUUAUCGGAAUUAGAUGAGCCCGCGUAAGAUUAGCUAGUUGGUGGGGUAAUGGCCUACCAAGGCGACGAUCUUUAGCUGGUCUGAGAGGAUGAUCAGCCACACUGGGACUGAGACACGGCCCAGACUCCUACGGGAGGCAGCAGUGGGGAAUAUUGGACAAUGGGCGCAAGCCUGAUCCAGUCAUGCCGCGUGAGUGAUGAAGGCCUUAGGGUGUAAAGCUCUUUCAGUGGGAAGAUAAUGACGGUACCCACAGAAGAAGCCCCGGACUAACGUUCGUGCCAGCAGCCGC
rnacentral:rRNA from 1 species